GGGGGGGGGGCAAGCGUUGUUCGGAAUUACUGGGCGUAAAGGGCGCGCAGGCGGCCUGGCAAGUCCUACGUGAAAUCCCACAGCUUAACUGUGGAACUGCGUGGGAUACUGCCAGGCUUGAGUCCGGGAGAGGAGAGUGGAAUUCCCAGUGUAGCGGUGAAAUGCGUAGAUAUUGGGAGGAACACCGGUGGCGAAGGCGGCUCUCUGGACCGGUACUGACGCUGAGGCGCGAAAGCUAGGGGAGCAAACGGGAUUAGAUACCCCGGUAGUCCUAGCUGUAAACUUUGAGCACUUGGUGUGGCGGGUAUCGACCCCUGCCGUGCCGAAGCUAACGCAUUAAGUGCUCCGCCUGGGGAGUACGGUCGCAAGGCUG
rnacentral:rRNA from 1 species